rnacentral:rRNA from 1 species
GAUGAACGCUGGCGGCGUGCCUAAUACAUGAAAGUCGAGCGAACGGACGAGAAGCUUGCUUCUCUGAUGUUAGCGGCGGACGGGUGAGUAACACGUGGAUAACCUACCUAUAAGACUGGGAUAACUUCGGGAAACCGGAGCUAAUACCGGAUAAUAUUUUGAACCGCAUGGUUCAAAAGUGAAAGACGGUAUUGCUGUCACUUAUAGAUGGAUCCGCGCUGGAUUAGCUAGUUGGUAAGGUAACGGCUUACCAAGGCAACGAUGCAUAGCCGACCUGAGAGGGUGAUCGGCCACACUGGAACUGUGACACGGUCCAGACUCCUACGGGAGGCAGCAGUGGGGAAUCUUCCGCAAUGGGCGAAAGCCUGACGUAGCAACACCGCGUGAGUGAUGAAGGUCUUCGGAUCGUAAAGCUCUGUUAUUGGGGAAGAACAGAUGUGUGAGAAGCUGUUCACAUCUUGACGGUACCAAAUCAAAAAGCCACGGCUAACUACGUG